rnacentral:rRNA from 1 species
CCUACGGGCGGCAGCAGUGAGGAAUAUUGGUCAAUGGACGAGAGUCUGAACCAGCCAAGUAGUGUGAAGGAUGACUGCCCUAUGGGUUGUAAACUUCUUUUAUAUGGGAAUAAUAUGUUCCACGUGUGGGAUUUUGUAUGUACCAUAUGAAUAAGGAUCGGCUAACUCCGUGCCAGCAGCCGCGGUAAUACGGAGGAUCCGAGCGUUAUCCGGAUUUAUUGGGUUUAAAGGGAGCGUAGGUGGAUUGUUAAGUCAGUUGUGAAAGUUUGCGGCUCAACCGUAAAAUUGCAGUUGAAACUGGCAGUCUUGAGUACAGUAGAGGUGGGCGGAAUUCGUGGUGUAGCGGUGAAAUGCUUAGAUAUCACGAAGAACUCCGAUUGCGAAGGCAGUUCACUGGACUGCAACUGACACUGAGGCUCGAAAGUGUGGGUAUCAAACAGGAUUAGAUACCCGAGUAGUC